AUGCGGCGGGAGAGGUGCGGCGCCCCCCACCCGCGUCGCCGCCAUGGAGGUGCUGCGGCGCUCCUCGGUCUUCGCCGCCGAGAUCAUGGACGCCUUUGACCGCUCGCCCACAGACAAGGAGCUGGUGGCCCAGCGUCUACCGCAACGUGGCGCGUCAGCUGCACAUCUCCCUGCAGUCUGAGCCUGUGGUGACCGAUGCGUUCCUGGCCGUGGCUGGCCACAUCUUCUCUGCAGACUGAUGUCCUCAAGUGUGUGGUCAGCACAGACCCUGGCCUCCGCUCCCACUGGCUGGUGGCUGCACUCUGCAGCUUCGGCCGCUUCCUGAAGGCUGCCUUCUUCGUGCUGCUGCCAGAGAGAUGAGCUGCCCACCUGGCAGUGGCCGCAGCCUGGCCCUCUGGGCCCAACGCAGGAGGCCCUCAGCACCCGAACACAUCUUCCUCCUCCCCACCCG
rnacentral:sRNA from 1 species